CAGGCUUGGGUCGGGUCACACGUGGAUCCUCCGGUGGCUCCUCCUUGUAGGUGUCGGCGGAGAGGGUUUCGUGUUACCCGUCUGGCGAUGGGACGACGCGUGAGUUGCUUCCCGGACGUGAUGCCAGUGCAGGCUCCUUGCUUCUUGCAACGAACUGCCUCGGCCCGUCCCGUUCACUUGUCGGUUUGCCUCGGCCAUUAACAGUGUCGUAGUCGGGUGGCACCUGUGGGUUCCUGUGCUUUAUAUUCGAAGAGGGUAGUCGGAUGGAUCAAUGCCAUUGUUCUGGUACCCUGUAUUCACCACCCUUCAGUGUCCUGGCAGUCGGUGGAUGUCAUCGUGCGCGCGUUCGACGUUCAACAUCGGGAAGGUUGUCGUCCCGUUACUGGGCUCUCCUUCUCGGGACGGUGCGUCGGUGCUGCCAAGCUUUGCUCUCGGGUGCGGUGGUUUAGUUGGUCGUCGCAUUGGCCCUUGCGUCCGGUGUGAUCUCGAAGCGCUUUUGCUUCACUCUCGUGCCCGUCAAUGAUGGUCUCUCGGAGCUUUGCCGUUUCGUGAACGUCUUGGGGAGGUAUCGAGGUGUACGGAGGAUCGC
rnacentral:misc_RNA from 1 species